rnacentral:rRNA from 1 species
CAGUCGCCACGGGAAUACGUAGGUGCCAAGCGUUGUCCGGAAUUAUUGGGCGUAAAGGGCUCGCAGGCGGUUUCUUAAGUCUGAUGUGAAAGCCCCCGGCUCAACCGGGGAGGGUCAUUGGAAACUGGGAAACUUGAGUGCAGAAGAGGAGAGUGGAAUUCCACGUGUAGCGGUGAAAUGCGUAGAGAUGUGGAGGAACACCAGUGGCGAAGGCGACUCUCUGGUCUGUAACUGACGCUGAGGAGCGAAAGCGUGGGGAGUGAACAGGAUUAGAUACCCGAGUAGUCCCUGUCUCUUAUAC